CGUGAACAGAAGCAAAACCUGGAUAUUCACAGCAGUCCCUCGGUGGAGUUUAAGUUACCUGUACUGCUGGCCUGUUUACAACAAAGCACCAAACGAAAGCAUGAUGUGGUGACAGGUUUAACAGUCAUCGUCAGCUAAGAAGAUUAAAAAAGAACAACCCCAACCCCCUUCCUCAACAAAUAAAAACAACCUAUUUUUUUGCACCCCCAAGGACAACGUUGCAAAUGUGGAUUUCAGUCAUUUGUAUCAAAAGAUGCACAUUUUUUGUUGUAUUUUUUUAAAAAAAAACUAUCUAGUAUUUAAGCUACUCAGUUAAGGAGAUAGCACAAGUCAAA